rnacentral:misc_RNA from 1 species
ACUAGAAUCUCUUCAGAAAGCGCUCCAGGAUCUGACAUAAUACUCUGCCAAUCUUUUCAUGAUCCUUUGCUCCAAAUGCCGCUCAAAGCUUUGAAAUAUGGAGCAGCUCCAAUUGCAGUAGCAUCCAAUGAGAACAGAUUCAGACCUGUUGCAGAUCAUGAUCAAGAGGCCACUAAAUUCUCCCAGUUUAUUAGCUCUACCUUUGGAAAUAUGUCUCUUAGUGAGGCC